AGAUGAGAUGAUGAACGAGAUCAAUUUCCCUAUUGGUUUGAUUGGCUCAUAUGAUGGCCUAAAUGUUGAACUGAAUCUGAUCAUUC